CCUACGGGAGGCAGCAGUGGGGAAUUUUGGACAAUGGGCGAAAGCCUGAUCCAGCCAUUCCGCGUGAGUGAAGAAGGCCUUCGGGUUGUAAAGCUCUUUCGCAAGGGAAGAAAACUUAGAUACUAAUAUUAUCUGAGGUUGACGGUACCUUGAUAAGAAGCACCGGCUAACUACGUGCCAGCAGCCGCGGUAAUACGUAGGGUGCGAGCGUUAAUCGGAAUUACUGGGCGUAAAGCGUGCGCAGGCGGUUUUGUAAGUCAGAUGUGAAAUCCCCGAGCUCAACUUGGGAACUGCGUUUGAAACUACAAGACUAGAAUAUGUCAGAGGGGGGUAGAAUUCCACGUGUAGCAGUGAAAUGCGUAGAGAUGUGGAGGAAUACCAAUGGCGAAGGCAGCCCCCUGGGAUAAUAUUGACGCUCAUGCACGAAAGCGUGGGGAGCAAACAGGAUUAGAUACCCUGGUAGUCCACGCCCUAAACGAUGUCUACUAGUUGUUGGUGGAGUAAAAUCCAUGAGUAACGCAGCUAACGCGUGAAGUAGACCGCCUGGGGAGUACGGUCGCAAGAUUAAAACUCAAAGGAAAUUGAACGG
rnacentral:rRNA from 1 species